CACGAUUAAAAACUCUCUAUUAUUCACACAAAAAACACUCUCUAUUAGUCCCUCGGUUUAAAAAAUUAUAUAGUACAUUUAGGCCUUGUUUAGAUGCACCCAAAAACCCAAAACUUUACAAGAUUCCCCAUCACAUCGAAUCUUACGGCAUAUGCAUGGAGUAUUAAAUAUAGAUAAAAAUAAAAUCUAAUUACACAGUUUGUCUGUAAAUCACGAGACGAAUCUUUUAAGCCUAAUUACUCUAUAAUUGAAUAAUGUUUGUCAAAUAAAAAACAAAAGUGCUACAGUGUCAAAAUCCAAAAAGUUUUUGCAUCUAAACAAGCCCUUAGCUUUCUACUGUUUUCAAUGCAUAUUUUUAAUCACUAAUUUCUUCAAAAUUAUGAAUUUUGGUAAGUUUUUUAAUAUGAAUAUACACACAUAACUUAUGUGUUUCUAAAUUAAAUAAUGUACUACUAAUUUUGUAGUUUCUAAUAGUUGUACACACAACAACAAUAACAACAACUGCAUCAUUAAAUUAAAUUAAUAUUUAUUUCCUCAGUUGAGUAUUUAGCGUAAGCACUACGCUAGCUCAGUCCAAGAUGAGCUCUGGCCAGCCCCUACCCAGUCCUUGUCCAACACGAUCCUAAUCGGAGCCCAUACAGGGCCCAACUUCAACUUUGCCUGAACCCAAGCAGAUUCAAAAAAUCUAAACUGGGGGUAGUUAAAUUGAUAUCACUUGGUAAAUACAUUAUGUGUUUGUUAGUGAGAUGACAACUCUUCAAGCAACCUAAAACUUAUUUAGGUGUACAAAAAGAAUCCGUAUAGAAAUUAAUUUGUUUCAUUGAUAUGCGAUGAAUAGAUCACACAUACAUAAAAAUGUAUAUGAGAGUGUAUUUUUAAGCUUUUGUGUCAUGUAAUAAUUUUGCAUUGAUAUGAUGUCUCACUUGUGGGGAUAAAGCUGGAUAUUCUUCCAUUAUCUAAAAAAAUGUUUUACAUAUUCUUAACAUAUACAGGCAUAAUAGAAUUUUGCUGACACUUUUAAGUAAUACACCCAGUAAAAUAAGAUCAAACAGACAUAGAGUCAACAAAAGGAAAAUAUCAAGCAAAACAAAGAUACACAGAAGGUCUGCAAAAGUAGCUAGAAUGAGGUUUAAGUGAGAAUAAAGCAACUAGAUAUCAAAGAAUAAAGUGAUAGGGAUAUGCAAGGCCGGUGGGAGAAAAACAAAAGGCCAAGCAAAAAUACCCAUAGUUGCAUUACAUACGAGAGCUGAGCCUAUCGAGGCUAGGAAUGAACCAACCAUGCAUGAACAAGGGAGGGGGAAGGAAACAAAUUUUACUUUUUUAAAAAAAAAUAAAAAAUAAAAAUUUAGAGAAAGCUAAGGAUGCGCCUUUAAUCUUUUCCCCUUGUUGGGAGAGAGAUAUUCCUGGAUGAUCCAGCCUUAUAUUGUUCUAAAGAUGUCAUGGAGGAAAGAAUGGACAUUCCUUGUGAUCUAUGGGGACAUUCAGUUGAUAGAAAGAAAAAGUAGGGUGUCUUGUUGUAUGUACCCUAAAGAUCAUUCUGUGUGCACUUUGCAUGCUUAGGCAGCACUUUAUAAUAUUCACCACCAAAAGAAGUGAUUAGGACCUUUCUCCCUCCCACAUGGAAAAGUGGGAAUCUAAUUCCCCAUGCAAGAGGUGAUAAUAAUAUAUAACCCCAGCUGAUUCCAUCAUGUGACCUAAGUGCAACUUGGCUGCUGUUAAAGAAAGACUUGGCAAUUUUCACUUUUCUUUCUAGGCAGGCAGGAGAAUGUUUGUGCAGUCAAGGACAAGAGCACUCACUCAUCCAUCCACUAGUAACUACUCCUAGUAGGCAUAGACGACAUAGCCCACAACCCCAGCCAGCAACAUUUCAUUCAGGCAACAGGCAGGCAGAGAGCUGAGGUAAAAGUUGCAGGAUCCAAAGCUUUGGGGUUUAAGUGGGCCUAAGGACGGCAGCAAUGCAUAUACCUUUGCACACCCCAA
rnacentral:lncRNA from 1 species